rnacentral:rRNA from 1 species
UACAGAGGUCCCGAGCGUUGUUCGGAUUCACUGGGCGUAAAGGGUGCGCAGGCGGCCGGGUGUGUCAGAUGUGAAAUCCCGAGGCUUAACCUCGGAACUGCGUCUGAAACUACUCGGCUAGAGUACUGGAGAGGGUAACGGAAUUCACGGUGUAGCAGUGAAAUGCGUAGAUAUCGUGAGGAACACCAGAGGCGAAGGCGGUUACCUGGACAGUUACUGACGCUCAGGCACGAAAGCAUGGGGAGCAAAAGGG